rnacentral:lncRNA from 10 species
UCUAAAUCGACUGUUUCUUUCCCCACUUCUGGUCCUGACCAGGCUUGUUUCUGACAAGACUUCAUCAACAGCAGUACUUCUUAAUGAGGACUGCUCUGGGCAGCCAUGUGUGAUGUAGGUCCAGGAAGGAGGCGGUUUCAGGCAAACUGGAGACAAAUCCCAGACUUAUGAGGUGCCUGGUGAGUGUCCAGCAGAUGCAGGGCAGAGCCACGUGAGGCUCAGGAGGGUGUAAGGAAGCUGUUUUGACCCAAAACAAGAAGAGAAGACUGGAACCCAGACAAAAGGGCCUUGGUCCUCAUGGGAGAAAGGAACUGAGAUGUGACAUUGGCCCUUGGAGCAGAGGCCACAGGCCCUGCUCUGCCCUUGAGGAGCUGCCAGUGGACUGUCAAGGCGAUAAGUGCCAUGCACAAGAACAAGGAACUAUGGGGGCCCAGGAGAGAUGGCCACAGACCACAGACUGGUACCGAUACAUGGUCCCGGGGUUGGAGACCCCUGGGCUACUCCACAAACACUGAAUGACAUCGGCACAAACAGCAGGGUUUGGGGGCUCCUCUCCGAGGGCAAACAUCAGCAGAAGCUGCAAGCUGUCAUCCCUGACUUGACAUCCAGCUUGGUCGUCAUGAAGGUGCCAGACAUUUCUUGGUAGUGGAUUGUAAUCAUUUCCUGGGAUGACCAUGACAAAGUACCAGACUGUGUGACUUCCACAACAGAAAUAUAUUUUCUCACCAUUCUGAAGGCUGGACGUCUGAGAUCAGGGUGUCAACUUCUUCCAAGGUAGGGUUGGUUCCUUCUGAGGCCCCUGUCCCUGGCUAGCAGGUGAGCGUCUUCUCCCUGUGUCUUCAUAUGAUCUUUCGUUGAUGAAAUCUAUUAGAGGAAAAUCUGUAGAUUUUGGAAGGAAUUAAGUUCUUCCUAUGGCCCGGCCCUCCCCACCACAACACAAACAUACACAGGUGGUGUCUGGCCUCCUUUACAUGGCAUCCCUGCAGAGGUGAAAACAAGAAACCAGGCCACGCAGAGAGUCAUUGCAAGUAGAGGGAGACUCAGACAGAGGCUGCGGGAGCCGGCCCAGCUACGUUUGUGUGUUGGCCACAUGCAGCUUGUGCGGCCGCUCCAGGACCCUAAGCCUAUAUCCAAGGGAGCCAUAGACACGUGCUUUUGCUGAUGAGCCACAAUUUAUUAAUAGGAGACUCUGUGGGGUGCACCGCAAUAAAUUGUGAUUCGUGAAAUUUAUAAACUGAGAUAGCACUAGCAAGAGGUCCUGUGAAUUGUAAUUCUCUCGACCUGACAAAUGAACUGCUUUGAGCAGUGACAGCUUCAGCCAAGUAAGAGAAAUAAAUCAGCCGGUGGAACUGUGGUAAGAAAGCAAACAGUUUUAUUGGUCUACGGAUCUUGAGAAAUGUUGAUUAAGUCAGAUCUGGAAUCCCCCCAUAGUCGUUUUACAAGCUGCUUUAUCCCAGAGACCCCCCAGGCCUCUCCGUGUUACCACAAUCUCCCAGGAAAAACAAGGAGUGAGUUACACUGUGUUUAGGGUAGGAAACAAAAAUAUAUAUUUUUAUGGUCCUGGGAAAAGGUGAGUCCGACCAUUCAUUCGAGGCGGCUUCUGUAUUCCCCAGGACUACAUUAGAGGAAAACUUCCUGGAAGGCUUUCCACAACUGAUAACCUCUCAGUCUCCAGAGAGCAAAGAAUAGAAAAUACCUUGAGUUGUGGAAGCCAUUAUGUGAAAACAAAUUUAGAAUAAAUGGGACUGAUCAGAGAUUAGUGUUGGAACUAACAAACUAUGGGUUUACUUGGCAAGUUAAGAGUAGAAACAUGAAUGCAACGGGCAAUGUUGAAACUGUAGACACUAGAACAAACUGCUUUAAAUUGUAUUUAUGUCCUGAGAGAACCCAUUUGCUAUCAAAUAACUAAUUACACUCCUGUCUGUUCAUUGAAGGAAGCCCCAAAAGAC